GAUGAACGCUGGCGGCGUGCCUAAUACAUGCAAGUCGAGCGAACUGAUUAGAAGCUUGCUCCUCUGAUGGUUAGCGGCGGACGGGUGAGUAACACGUAGGCAACCUGCCUGCAAGCCUGGGAUAACUUCGGGAAACCGCAGCUAAUACCGGAUACGCAGUUGAGAUGCAUGUCUCGAUUGGGAAAGGCGGAGCAAUCUGUCGCUUGUAGAUGAGCCUGCGGAGCAUUAGCUAGUUGGUGAGGUAACGGCUCACCAAGGCGACGAUGCGUAGCCGACCUGAGAGGGUGAUCGGCCACACUGGGACUGAGACACGGCCCAGACUCCUACGGGAGGCAGCAGUAGGGAAUCUUCCGCAAUGGACGCAAGUCUGACGGAGCAACGCCGCGUGAGUGAGGAAGGCCUUCGGGUCGUAAAGCUCUGUUGCCAGGGAAGAAUGUCGAGGAGAGUAACUGCUCUUCGAAUGACGGUACCUGAGAAGAAAGCCCCGGCUAACUACGUGCCAGCCGCCGCAGUAAUAC
rnacentral:rRNA from 1 species